rnacentral:rRNA from 1 species
AGUUGGGCACUCUAGUGAGACUGCCGGUGACAAACCGGAGGAAGGUGGGGAUGACGUCAAGUCCUCAUGGCCCUUAUGUGUAGGGCUACACACGUCAUACAAUGGUCGGUACAGAGGGUCGCCAACCCGCGAGGGGGAGCUAAUCUCACAAAGCCGAUCGUAGUCCGGAUCGCAGUCUGCAACUCGACUGCGUGAAGUCGGAAUCGCUAGUAAUCGUGGAUCAGCAUGUCACGGUGAAUACGUUCCCGGGUCUUGUACACACCGCCCGUCACACCAUGGGAGUGGAAUCCGCCAGAAGUAGGUAGCCUAACCGCAAGGAGGGCGCUUACCACGGUAGGUUUCAUGACUGGGGUGAAGUCGUAACAAGGUAGCCGUAUCGGAAGGUGC